UACGUAGGCAGCAAGCGUUGUUCGGAGUUAUUGGGCGUAAAGCGCGCGCAGGCGGUCGCGUAAGUCUGCUGUGAAAUCUCCCUGGCUCAACCGGGAGGGGGCGGCGGAGACUGCGGGACUGGAGGGACCUAGAGGCCGGUGGAAUUCCCGGUGUAGUGGUGAAAUGCGUAGAGAUCGGGAGGAACACCUGUGGCGAAGGCGGCCGGCUGGGGGUGCCCUGACGCUGAGGCGCGAAAGCGUGGGGAGCGAACCGG
rnacentral:rRNA from 1 species